rnacentral:rRNA from 1 species
AGUGGACGCUGGCGGUAGGCCUAACACAUGCAAGUCGAACGGCAGCACAUUAAGAGCUUGCUCUUACGGGUGGCGAGUGGCGGACGGGUGAGGAAUACAUCGGAAUCUACUUUUUCGUGGGGGAUAACGUAGGGAAACUUACGCUAAUACCGCAUACGACCUACGGGUGAAAGCAGGGGAUCUUCGGACCUUGCGCGAUUGAAUGAGCCGAUGUCGGAUUAGCUAGUUGGCGGGGUAAAGGCCCACCAAGGCGACGAUCCGUAGCUGGUCUGAGAGGAUGAUCAGCCACACUGGAACUGAGACACGGUCCAGACUCCUACGGGAGGCAGCAGUGGGGAAUAUUGGACGAUGGGCGCAAGCCUGAUCCAGCAAUACCGCGUGGGUGAAGAAGGCCUUCGGGUUGUAAAGCCCUUUUGUUGGGAAAGAAAAGCAGCAGGUUAAUACCCCGCUGUUCUGACGGUACCCAAAGAAUAAGCACCGGCUAACUUCGUG